CGGCAGACGGGUGAGUAACGCGUGGGAACAUACCUUUUGGUUCGGAACAACACAGGGAAACUUGUGCUAAUACCGGAUAAGCCCUUACGGGGAAAGAUUUAUCGCCGAAAGAUUGGCCCGCGUCUGAUUAGCUAGUUGGUGAGGUAAUGGCUCACCAAGGCGACGAUCAGUAGCUGGUCUGAGAGGACGAUCAGCCACACUGGGACUGAGACACGGCCCAG
rnacentral:rRNA from 1 species